CUCCUCCCUCGUCCCCUCUCUCGCCGCCGCACCCAAACCCUAACCCCACUCCUCUCCCCCGAUUCAGAUGCACUCCUCGCAGCCGACACCUCCCUCCCGCCCCCGAUUCAGCCGAUCCCGCUGCCAGCACCCGCACGCCACCACCCGCUCCUCCUCUCCUACCAGAUCGUGCCGCCACCUCCCUCCCCAUCCCCUCCUGGAUCUCUCCCUCGGUGAGCCCCUCUUCUGCCCGUGCACGCACAGCCUCGGCUCCUGCUGCUCUUCCCGAUUGAGGAGGGGGAGGAGAGCAAGAGGGGCAGCAUGGUGGCCAGCGAGGGGAGCACCAUCACGGGAGCCGCGUCCACCCGGUCAUGCUCAAUUCGUGCCUGCUGCUCUUGGUGGUGUGCAGAUCUGGCGGUCCGACCCCAUGGAGACCGAGCAGGUCGUGCUGCCACUGCCUCCCUUCCCUUGAGUCCAGCCGCCUCAUGAUUGAUGGAUGAUGAUGUAGUUGGCCGCUGCCGAUGCCACGGAGCUUCCAUGGCCUAGCAGUAAGGGGGAAGAAGAGACAGCGGGAUGGAAGGAAGGAGGCCGCCGGGGAGUGGGGUGUUGUACUCGAUGGAGAUAGCUGACGCCCGGGUAACCCCAUAAUCCAAGAUUAACUCUGCAAGUGGAAAACGACCAUGGGUUAUGGAUGGGAUCUUGUUUGUACCCUCGCCUCCCAUCCAUGGUAGCCUCUUUCUCCUAACACAAUUAGUAUUUGUCUAUUAUUUACAAUUCUAGAGUGGCAUUCUUUGUUGAAUAAGGGAUUGCCGAUCUGUCGAUGACUCAACUGAGUUGGGCUUCGGUUUGUGUGUCCCUUUCAGGUGGUUCAAUUGGUAUUGCUGCAAGUCAUCCAGUUUCUGUGUGAUGGAUGGUGGCGAGGCGCAUUUGAAGGAGAGGUUGGCCAAGGUGUACGAGGUCAAGGCGCAGUUUAAGGAGAGGCCGCCGCCGGUCUCUGGCUCCUCGCCGCGGCUAGCUCCGGCCACAUUGGACGAUGGGUAGGAGCCCAUCUUCCGCUGCUUCUCCAUCCUCUGACGCGACUCCUAGGGCACGGCUCCUCCCUCGCAGCAGCUCUUGGUCGGUCUGACCAGGGCACCACUCUGGCGAACGGCGCCCCACUCUGGCCGACGACCGAAUCAGGGGCUGCUGGAGAACACAGAGAAGGAUAGGGUCUGGUGGCUGAUAGGCUCAAGCAUCUCGCGGAGCCAUGAUUUUCCCAGUUGAUGGAUCUGCUUCUUCCAACCAAGCUUUGCGCCAUGGCCGGCAGAGGCUCCACAGGAGGCCCUUAUCUCGCUGCUGUUCGAAAAGCAGAAGCUGCAACCUGCAGAACACAAGGGCUGUUGUGUAUUGCGUCCUCGCCAUGUCUGGACAUCAAGGUUCUUGUCAUCGUCCUGCGUGAGCUGCCAACAACUCAUCCAUCUGACCAACCCAACAUGGUCUGCUUCUUCCAGGACGAGCACCUGAUUGGCGUCGACGUGCGUGCCCGCAAGGUCGUGGGGUGCGAGGUCUAUGAGCUGAUUGAGCGGCCGCCCGAAGACAUCGAUUCCCGCUUCGUUCACACUUGGCCGCUACCACCGGCUCUCUGCUCAGACUUGUGGUGAAGAAGAGCAAGGCCAAGAAAGACUCGAACAAGCCCGAACGCCCCCUGAGCGCCGUCUUAGUCCUCAUAUGGAGAGGGUGCUUAAGGAUGAUGCCAUCCAGGAGAAGGGCGAGCGCACCAGGAUGGUGAUUUGUUUGGAAUUUGGAAGAGGAAGACGAUGAAGCGUGGUGGUUAUCUAUCAAUAUGCCUUGUGUUCUGGUUGUACUUCAUAGCUAGUUACAUUGUAUUGUGUACUGGUCUGGUUGUAUGAACACUAUGUAAAGAUUGUAAUAGGCUAAUUUUGGCUAUCAUUUUAAGUAUAUAGUUCUAUUUCAUUUGAAAUAUUUGUCAUUUGUGUACUGUGAAAAUGUAAGAAAUAGAAAGUUGAUGAGUUGGACU